UUUAAUUUAUUGUGAAGACUG
rnacentral:piRNA from 1 species